rnacentral:pre_miRNA from 1 species
UAGGUACUCCCUCCGUCCGAAAAAACUUGUCAUCAAAAUGGACAAAAAGGAAUGUAUCUAAAACUAAAAUACAUCUAGAUACAUUCCCUUUUAUUCAUUUUGAUGACAAGUAUUUUCGGAUGGAGGGAGUACUAA